ACUAAAAUACUCAAGAUGAGCCAGUGUGUAUAUUUGUGAGUAAGUUACAGCAAUGAAACUUCCAAAUAUUUUGGUGGGAAUUUCUGAAAAACAAAGACGUUCUUUAUAAAUCAGAGUUCAGUGAUCAAAAUCAACAAAAUAACACGACGGAUACAAUGGUAUAAUCUUUAGGAAAAAAAUCUAUAGACUGUAUACAAAAUUUGUCAUUCAUGUUCUAAUUCAGAAUCAAACACUUCAUUCAUCAUGUCCCAUUAGACUCCUUUAAUCCAGGUCAAUCCCUCAGUUUUCCUUUCUUUCAUAACCUUGACAGAUUAGUUACAUGACAGCAGGACCCUCCAUCUGGGUGUUCCUGGUGUUUCCUCCCGAUGGCAGGACUUCCUGGGAGAAUUGACUUGAAAUAUAUUUUGAAGAAUAAGGAGAAUUAUUGAGAUGAAGACUGACAGGAAGGAAUGAUGAAUGGAAGAAGCUCACUUGCUUGGAGGGGAGAAAGUGUUCUGUGGAAUCAACUAACCACCCUGAGUGGCCUUUGCUGCUGCCUGGACACAUCAGGCUCUCUCACCCUCUCAGCUCUGCUCUCUCUGUGCUCCCUCUGCCUAGUACACUGACUCCACUUCCUCCCUACUCUCCUUCCUGAAUAAUUUCCAAUUAGCCUUCAGAACCCAAAUGGAACUGUUUCCCUGCUCUGGUUGCCAGAGUUCAGUAAAGAGCACAUGUUUAGAGUCCAACAGGUCCAAGUUCAAAUCCUGCCCUUGCCACUUCAGCAAAUGAACCAUCUUAGGCAAAUUGUCCAACUUCUCUGAGACCCACUUCCUUUCUUGUUCAAAUAAGAGGUUAUAUCAGAUGCCCUCCACUUUUCACAAUCCAUAUGAUUUUAGCAGAUGGAGCCUCUGGGAUGUAAUUAUGUGAUUAGUACCCUUUUGAAAAUGCUCCCAAAGACCUGUCUUGCUCCUUUUUUUCCUCCACAUAUAAACUGAGCUAGAGGGUGCCAUGUAUGAACUAGGAAACACAUCCUCAUCAGACUCCAGAUCUAUGGGUACCUUGAUCUUGGACUUCCCAGCAUCCAGAACCAUGAGAAAUGAAGGUUAUUUAUAAGCUACCCUGUCUACAAUAUUUUGUUAAAGCAGCCUGAAUGGAUACCCUAACUGUCCAUCAUGGCCAUAGUUUGGACAGAUGCCCUUUGUAAGACCCAUGACCCCUCAGGUGGUCCUCAUGAGUCCUAAGAGUUUCCAGCCCAACUUCUCCUGCUUUCUCUUCUAGGUUUCCAUACUUAUGUGUGUCAAUAAAAUAAAGACAGAAGGCUCAUCUCUUUCACCAUUUCCAAAAGAGGAAUUCAGACACACUCAUUGUUUUUUAGUUUAGGGAACCCACUGUGGGUUUGAGGGCCUGCCCCUGACCUGGUGUUCUGCCCACCUGGGGUCAGUCCAAUGGUCUCUUUGUACAGUGCUGCCUCUCAAAGCCCACGUGUGCUGCCACUCAGGCUUCAUCCAUCCCAAUGCCCACCUUCCCAUGGGAGCUGAGUCAGGCAUUACAGCUGGAUGAGAGGGUGGCAUUUGUGGAGAGUAGGGUGAAGGGGUUCUGGGGUCAUCAAAGUGGCUUCUGUGCAAGUAGUUUGUCCACCCAAACCCCGAGUCCAUGUGGAUGACCAACCCCAGCCUGCCUUCUGUCUCUCAUCCCCUUUGUCUCUGGUCUUUUGUUCCCCUCCCAUAGCCUAUCUACACACUCCUGAAAUCACACAUGUGACAUUGUCGCCACCAAUAAUUGCACCUCCUGUUAGAUCUUAUCUCAGGCAUCCAGGUGUCUGAGCACUGUCCCAUGGCCUCCACCUCACUCUCCUCUUCUCACCCCAGCAAUUCUCUGGUGCUAUAGAGCACCAAUGCUUUCUCAUCAUCAAUCAUCCUCCAUGUUCCUGCCCCCUGUCCUCAUUGUUCUCUGUCCUGCCACUAACCACUGUAUUCCAGCCACACUGGUGUCUCUUACAUCCUGGAGAACAUGUAGCUUUUCCCACUUUAAGGCCUUUGUCCUCAAUGUCUCCUCUGCUGGGAAUGUUCUCCCUGUUUGUUUUAUCCUUGGUAAAAACAAUUUUGAAUUAUGAAUCACUAAUUAAUCAGUAAUCGACUAACGAAUUAAUAAUCAUAAAUUGUUAGUUCAUCUGUUAUUCACUAAUGUUAUAUUUGUAAAGUGCAUGUCAUGCUUAAAGAACAACAAUUACCUUCCCUCAUGGACCUGGCUAUUGUUUCAGUCAUUGACCAUGACCUGCAUGAAUUCCUUGCUCAUCCCAGCUUCUCUCCUUCCCCAUCUGAGAUAACAAGUGGCCAAAAAAGCCCAAGAGAAAGAGUCCUAGGUGUCCCUAACUUUCAUUUUAGGUGACCAGCUCUAUAAGCAACAGGACAUUUUGUCUGGAGCUCAUUUCAACAUACCCUUCCCUCACGUUUCCUGUCAAAUUUCACAAUUCUUGAUAUUGCAAUCACAGCGGAAGAUAGAACCACCUUUUAUUCAACCACCUUUUAUUUGGUCUUUUAUUUAAAGACCAAAGAGGAAAAAAAAAGUUACUUCUCUUCUGAAAUUAAUCUUAAUCUUUUUGUGUGUGAUACUUUUUUCUAAAAUAUGUUUCUGUGUUACCCUUAUAUUAAAAAUUACAUAAGGCAAAAAUCCUGUUCAAAUGUUAAGAAAGGAUGGUGUGAACUGCAUUAAGCAUGGCAGAUCAGCUAUAGGUUCUUUCCUCCCUCUCUUCUAGGACUCUGUUAAAAUUACUGCAAAGGAGGUUUUUAAAAAAUGUCUAUGUCUAAAUUGAAUAGGCGAGAACAUCAAGUGAGAAAGAUUUUCACACUAUUUUGGUUGAUGGUGGGUCUGUCGCUCCUAUUGGUGUCACAGAGGAAAGCUCAACAGAGGAGGAGUCCCCUGGGAACCAGCAAAUCCUCCUCACACCGCAGGCAGGCUGAGUCAGGUGCGCUAUGCCAUGCCCUGGGCAAAGGAUGCGAAUGGGACAUCUUUGACCCCUGUGCUCCAGCCACAUUGAUGUCUGGAUGUCCAUGUAUGGAGUGGCCAGGCAUUCCCCUCUGUCCUCAUGAAGUUAAGCAACUACCCUCCUACCUCUCUGAGACCAGAAGUUUAUUCUCAGAAUCACAGUGAACAGGAGUGAGAGGGGUGGAUAUAAGUUGAAAUCAAGGGAAUCCAGUGAAAAUCUGCACAUCAGAGCCUCCCGGUCCUCUUUCUUAACACUCUGCUUUAGGAGGCAGGUUGCCAGCCAAAAAACUUACUAUCCUCCCCACUCCGCAGAAGGUGGUUCUCUUGAGGAGAGCCCACAGUGGAGAAAUAUAAUAGAAUGUGAAUAAAAAAUGUCUCCAUUCUCUAAGAAGUAACAAAAGUCCUAGAAGAUGAAAUUCAAAUGGUGCAAAAGGGGAAAUCAACCUGGAUUCUGUGUGUGUGGUAUUCCCUGUGAUCAGAAAUGAAGACGACAGAUAUUAUGAAGUCAAUGACAGUAGCAUUAUUAAUUCCUGAAUGAAGAGAUUUCUGAGGUGAAGCAGAUCUUGAUGGAGCAAGAGGUUAACAUCUGAGAUUGUGUGGGAGUUCUCAGCUGUUAUUCUUGCAUGAGAAAAUUUCAGGCAAGACAUAGGACUAAGUAAAAGUAUAACAAAGUUUAUUAGAAGGGAAAAGAGAAGGGAGGAAAGAUGCUCUCAAGGGAGAGCGUGGAUUCUCUCAGUAAGGAGAGUGCCAAUGGGCUCUUUGUCUCACUUUUUUUUGGGGGGGGGUGUCUUGGAGAAGUUUCUCAAGAGUCCUGCCUGGGUAUUGCCUCUCAACUUUUGACUGACAGUAGGAUCACAUCAUAUUUUUUAAGUACCUACUGUGCAUGGUCUUACCCAGGGUAUCCAAGUGAAACCCAUGGGGGAAAAGUUAUUAUUGUAAUUGCUUAAUCUAAAUGCAACCCUGAGUCACCUUGGCCAGUGCUGACAAGUUCUAAUUGGAAAAGGCUUUUUUACAGAUUUUAUGGCUUUGAGAAAAGUUAUAAAAGUUUCCUUUCCAAAAACAAAACAAAACAAAACAGAAAAGUCCCAUUUCAUGGUAACUUGUGUUCUUAUCGGGAGGGAGGAGUCUUAAAUUCCUCUGUCCUUGCAAACAUAAUCCAAAAGAUAAUGGGUUGUUUGUAAAGAAAUGUAAUAUCCUAUUAACUUAAGCCAGAGCAGGCCUAACUGGCCUUAGGUAAAUAGCUUUUAAAAAGAAGACACAAGGAUUAGCCAAAUUAUAUAUUUUUUUAAAGAGUGAGAGAGAAAAUUUUAAUAUUUAUUUUUUAGUAUUUGGCGGACACAACAUCUUCAUUUGUAUGUGGUGCUGAGGAUCGAACCCGGGCCGCAUGCAUGCCAGGUGAAGGAGUGAUGAGGGCUCUGCAGUCCAGGGACCUCCCCCAUCUCCUGCUCAACUCUUCCCUGACCACACCUACAUGUUGUCUACACAUACAGCAUUUGUGUCUGCAACCUCCACGCCCCCAUCCUUACAGCUGUAGAUGACUCACAGAAAAUGGGUGCUCCUGUUGUAGAGGGGCACUCCUGCCUGCUGCAGGAUGUGGAGAAGCCAAAGGAAGAAAUCCCUAGGAAGCUAGAGGAGCUGUGGUCCUAGCAGCUGCCCCACGCCAACAGGAUGAGUCAGCAAAUCAAGGAAAAUGUGCAUCCACUGAAGAAAGUUUGGGCCUCCAUCAGUCUUUAGAGAGGUGCCUCAAGCCAAUUUCUCCUGUGGCCAUCCCUGACUAGAAACAUACUAGGAAGGGAAAAUGUAGUUCAGAUUUGCCAAGUUGACUCAUAAAACCAUCACAGAGAAUGCCACUAUUAUUCUUGCAAUAAGGCACCAAACUAAGUUGAUGAAUUAUGACUAAGAAAGUGUUGGAGAGUAGCAAAAGCAUAGAAUUGAAUGGGUUGACUGGAUGAUACCAGCUCUGGAGAGAAACCUCCUGAGAUAAUAACUUUUGAAGCCUCAGAGUUGAAUCUGAAUUUUAAUUUAAGACAAUAAAAAUGCAGAAAAGCCAAUACUACUUUGAAAAAUUGUGUCCAUUGGCUUGAGAAAGAUGUGAAGAAAGUUACCAUAUGUGUGGGCACAUGGGAGAAAAAUCACUCAUGAAAAAUAAAAACCUUGCUGAUGAUGUC